GAGGGAACGCGAAAUCGACACACCUUAAGCUCCUUUAUUUGUCAUAAAACCAGUCCCGAUUAUUAUAUACACUGUGCCGUGUUGUAGAGCAGCCACAUCUAGAGGUAGCUUGUCCUUGUUGUUAGGUCAUCCAUUCAUCCAUCGAGAACCAUCCAGCUUAUAAUCAUCGCGGCGACAGCUCAUGGUAGCACACGUCAUGUUAUAACACGCUUCAUACAAAGACCCAGAGCUUCCAAACUAAUCUCAUUGAAUUACUUUAAAAUGCAGGGGUGAGAGUGAAUGAAGCAGUUGCCACUACUGUGCAGGUUGGGUAGAUGUAGAAAUAUGUAUUUCACCACCGUUUCCCACUGUUGAACAGGUUGGCUGAAUGUUGGUUUUCCAGACAAUGCCUUUAAUAGCAGUGGCUUACUCUGAGGGUGUAGGCCCUGGCAGGUCCAGGAUCAGCCCAGGCAGCUGUAAAAGAUUAUCUCUGGCCAUCCCUAGUCAUGCAUUCUAAUUGGACUAUCACCACUAGACUAGACUCAAUGGAAUGAACUACAGAGGCUACUCACUUAUUUAGUUGGGUCUAUGUUGGUUUGUACAGGGUUUACAACAUUGUCCACUUUCUGCAAAAAUGGGUCUAUUUUUUUAAAACUUUUUAAAAACUUUCAAACUAAGAUAUUAAGCCACUUAUGCUUUGGGUGUUGUUAAGUAUUGAUAACCUCCUGAAAUAUUUCACUUCCAGCAACCGUGAUUCAUUAACACACUUGCAAAUGCUCUGUGCUUCACCCAAGUUAUUAUAUAGCCUGGUAUUUUUAAUACUUACUCUGUUACUAACGGAUGAGUUUGCCAUUCCUUUUAAUGAGUUUUGGGACUGCUCACGUCAGGCUAAAAACAAGACGUCUUUCCUUUUUUAUUGCACUCUACUGCCAUUUGAUUUAGCCGUGUUGAACGGAAUGGGUUACAAUGUUAAGAAUGAAAUGCCAUGAUGAUCUGGACGAGACUGACGAAUUGAGGCAAAGGGUGACGGAGGGCGUGGAGAUGGCGGAGGCACGGAAGUUGGCGGGUAACGUUUCCGAGGAAUCAGAGGUCACGCCCUGGAGGUCCUUCUCUCUGAACAUCUUUCUCCACGAGGAGUGUGUGCUGGCCGGUGCCGAGGGGCUGGUGAGGGACACCAUCUCCUGAAUGGCCAGGUGUAGUUUAAGGCGAUGCAGGGGGUUACUGAUGCCAAUCUCCCGCUGGAUCUCUGUGUCCGACAGGUUGGCCAUAAUGGCACCGCUCUUCACAUUGGCACGACACGCAGCCACAUACCAGGCAGGCAUGCCC